UAAGUGUGUAAAUAGAUUUAGCCCCCCUAUCAAAUUUUUGUUAAACAGCCUUUCAUUAGUAAUUUUUAACUGUUCCAUGCUAUGCAUAGUAAAAAUAACACCCAUUACAGAGCCAGCAUGAAACAGCAGUUGGGCAUCCUGGAAACCAUGUGCAGGGACCAUGUGAGUUUUGGUGCUGUGUGACCUUCAUGUCAUUCUGUGGAUGACUGGAGACUGAAGUACUGACUUAACUUGUUGAGCAACAAACUCAUUUCUGUUUCUGUUUUCCUUUCAUUCCAGUUGUGUUCAGUGACACUCAGUGAUGGAUUUGCUUGUGCAUGAUGAUGUGCUAUUGGAGAUUUAUUGUGCUCACAAACUGCUGGUGAUGAAGACUCACUCAUGGAAACAGUCAUGCUGGGAAAAUACUGAGGCUGUUGGGAUGGUAGUCCACCUUCCUCAUUCUAAAGUAGAUCUUAACUGCUAGGCCAAUGAGCUCACCCAGUGACAAGGAGCAAGUUUGAAUCAUAUUGAAAUACUUAGGCAGUUGGGAUGGUAGUCAACCUUCCUCAUUCUAGAGUAGAUCUUAACUGCUAGGCCAAUGAGCUCACCCAGUGACAAGGAGCAAGUUU